rnacentral:rRNA from 1 species
AUGCCGUUCAAUGGCAAAGCGGAGUACGUCCCGGAGCUCGGGCUCUGGUUUGGCCUCUCACGCCGCCUCCCCAUCGCUGUCGACCUCUCCGGCGUUGUCAGAGGGGAGGAGCCGCUACCAGAGAAGUUGCGGAUCUGGGAGGAUGAUGACCUGCCAGAGGAGUGGCAGCCGAAUGAAUUGUGCGACUCCAAGAUCAUCAGCCUCGGCUCAGGCAGGUUCUUCUUUGCUGACUUCUUUAAUGACAUGAAAUUUGCCCUCUUUACUGGUAUGGAGGUAGUGUACGGCAAUGGCAAUGGCAAUGGCGCCAACAAAGACAAUUUCAACUACAAUAGUGGCAACAAUGGUACCGGCAAAGACGAUGGCAACAAUGCCAACAACGGCAGCAAAGGCAAAGGGAUGAUUCGUGGCCUUCCUAUGAUUAAGCACAAGUCCAAACGUUACAUGUUUAAGAAGCAGCUGAGCAUCGAGGCGGUGCUCUGA